GACGAACGCUGGCGGCGUGCUUAACACAUGCAAGUCGAGCGAUGAAGCUCCUUCGGGAGUGGAUUAGCGGCGGACGGGUGAGUAACACGUGGGUAACCUGCCUCAUAGAGGGGAAUAGCCUUUCGAAAGGAAGAUUAAUACCGCAUAAGAUUGUAGCGUCGCAUGAAGCAGCAAUUAAAGGAGUAAUCCGCUAUGAGAUGGACCCGCGUCGCAUUAGCUAGUUGGUGAGGUAACGGCUCACCAAGGCGACGAUGCGUAGCCGACCUGAGAGGGUGAUCGGCCACAUUGGGACUGAGACACGGCCCAGACUCCUACGGGAGGCAGCAGUGGGGAAUAUUGCACAAUGGGGGAAACCCUGAUGCAGCAACGCCGCGUGAGUGAUGACGGUCUUCGGAUUGUAAAGCUCUGUCUUCAGGGACGAUAAUGACGGUACCUGAGGAGGAAGCCACGGCUAACUACGUGCCAGCAGCCGCCGUAACAC
rnacentral:rRNA from 1 species